AGCAUAUCAAUAAGCGGAGGAAAAGAAACCAACAGGGAUUGCCCUAGUAACGGCGAGUGAAGCGGCAACAGCUCAAAUUUGAAAUCUGGCUCUUUCAGGGUCCGAGUUGUAAUUUGCAGAGGGCGCUUUGGCGUUGGCAGCGGUCCAAGUUCCUUGGAACAGGACGUCACAGAGGGUGAGAAUCCCGUACGUGGUCGCUGGCCUUCGCCGUGUAAAGCCCCUUCGACGAGUCGAGUUGUUUGGGAAUGCAGCUCUAAAUGGGAGGUAAAUUUCUUCUAAAGCUAAAUACUGGCCAGAGACCGAUAGCGCACAAGUAGAGUGAUCGAAAGAUGAAAAGCACUUUGGAAAGAGAGUCAAAUAGCACGUGAAAUUGUUGAAAGGGAAGCGCUUGCAGCCAGACUUGCCUGUAGUUGCUCAUCCGGGCUUCUGCCCGGUGCACUCUUCUAUAGGCAGGCCAGCAUCAGUUUGGGCGGUUGGAUAAAGGUCUCUGUCAUGUACCUCUCUUCGGGGAGGCCUUAUAGGGGAGACGACAUGCAACCAGCCUGGACUGAGGUCCGCGCAUUUUGCUAGGAUGCUGGCGUAAUGGCUGUAAGCGGCCCGUCUUGAAACACGGACCAAGGAGUCUAACAUCUAUGCGAGUGUUUGGGUGUCAAGCCCGAACGCGUAAUGAAAGUGAACGGAGGUGGGAACCCUUUAGGGCGCACCAUCGACCGAUCCUGAUGUCUUCGGAAGGAUUUGAGUAAGAGCAUGGCUGUUGGGACCCGAAAGAUGGUGAACUAUGCUUGAAUAGGGUGAAGCCAGAGGAAACUCUGGUGGAGGCUCGCAGCGGUUCUGACGUGCAAAUCGAUCGUCAAAUUUGGGCAUAGGGGCGAAAGACUAAUCGA
rnacentral:rRNA from 1 species